UAGCUCGGGUUUCUCUUCAUUGUCGCAUAAAUCUUUCGCCUUUUACUAAAGAUUUCCGUGGAGGGGAACCUUUGCGAGUGAUCUGUAUUUUUGGGGGCUCUGCUCACAGCAGAGCU